AGGAGGAAUGAGAAGGUGGAGCUGUUUUCAUGUACUGCUUCCUACUGGUAUUAACCUCCUACAGCAACAAUGCGGUGCUUGGCAGCUUCCUUUGUCAGUAGGCAAGCAGCUUGCAUUUA